UACGUAGGGUGCAAGCGUUGUCCGGAAUUAUUGGGCGUAAAGAGCUCGUAGGCGGUUUGUUGCGUCGGCUGUGAAAUCCCGAGGCUCAACCGCGGGUCUGCAGUCGAUACGGGCAGGCUAGAGUUCGGUAGGGGAGACUGGAAUUCCUGGUGUAGCGGUGAAAUGCGCAGAUAUCAGGAGGAACACCGGUGGCGAAGGCGGGUCUCUGGGCCGAUACUGACGCUGAGGAGCGAAAGCGUGGGGAGCGAACAGG
rnacentral:rRNA from 1 species